rnacentral:rRNA from 1 species
GUCUACGGCCAUGCUACCCUGAACGAACCCAGUCUCGUCAGAUCUCGGAAGCUAAGCAGGGUUGGGCCUGGUUAGUACUUGGAUGGGAGAUCACCUAGGAAGACCAGGUGCUGUAGGCA